GACAAGCAGAGCGGCUGGUUCGCCGUGCUGUUCUCGGAAAACUGGGCGCUGGUGGGUCGCUUCCGCCGCCUGCUG
rnacentral:tRNA from 1 species